GCAUGAAGUUGGAAUUGCUAGUAAUCGCGAAUCAGAAUGUCGCGGUGAAUACGUUCCCGGGCCUUGUACACACCGCCCGUCACACCAUGAGAGUCGAUAACACCCGAAGCCUGUGAGCUAACCGCAAGGGGGCAGCAGUCGAAGGUGGGGUUGAUGAUUGGGGUGAAGUCGUAACAAGGUACC
rnacentral:rRNA from 1 species